CUUGCUCCGGCGGAUUAGUGGCGAACGGGUGAGUAACACGUGAGCAAUCUGCCCUUGACUCUGGGAUAACUGCGGGAAACUGUAGCUAAUACCGGAUACUUUCCUUGGUGGGCAUCCGCUGGGGAAGAAAGAAUUUCGGUCAAGGAUGAGCUCGCGGACUAUCAGCUAGUUGGUGGGGUAAUGGCUCACCAAGGCGACGACGGUUAACCGGUCUGAGAGGAUGAACGGUCACACUGGAACUGAGAUACGGUCCAGACUCCUACGGGAGGCAGCAGUGGGGAAUAUUGCACAAUGGGCGCAAGCCUGAUGCAGCAACGCCGCGUGAGGGAUGAAGGCCUUCGGGUUGUAAACCUCUUUUAGUAGGGAAGAAGCGAAAGUGACGGUACCUGCAGAAAAAGCACCGGCUAACUACGUGCCAGCAGCCGCGGUAAUACGUAGGGUGCAAGCGUUGUCCGGAAUUAUUGGGCGUAAAGAGCUCGUAGGCGGUUUAUUGCGUCUGCUGUGAAAUUUCGAGGCUCAACCUCGAGCUUGCAGUGGGUACGGGUAGACUAGAGUGCAGUAGGGGAGAUGGGAAUUCCUGGUGUAGCGGUGGAAUGCGCAGAUAUCAGGAGGAACACCAAUGGCGAAGGCACAUCUCUGGGCUGUUACUGACGCUGAGGAGCGAAAGUGUGGGGAGCAAACAGGAUUAGAUACCCUGGUA
rnacentral:rRNA from 1 species